rnacentral:rRNA from 1 species
CCUACGGGUGGCAGCAGUGGGGAAUAUUUGGCACUGGAGGCAACUCUGACCCAGCAACGCCGCGUGAAUGAUUCAGGUCUUCGGAUUGUAAAGUUCUGUGAUGGGGGAUGAACACAAUGACGGUACCCCAAUAGCAAGCCACGGCUAACUCCGUGCCAGCAGCCUCGGUAAUACGUAGGUGGACAGCGUUAUCCGUAAUGACUGGGCGUAAAGUGUGCGUAGGUGGUUUAGUAAGUUGGCGGUGUAAUUCCGGGGCUCAACCUCGGCGCUACCGCCAAAACUAUUAGACUAGAGUGCAGGAGGGGUAAGUGGAAUUCGUAAUGUAGCGGUGGAAUGCGUAGAUAUUAGGAGGAACAUCAGGGGCGAAGGCGACUUACUGGACUGUAACUGACACUGAGGCACGAAAGCGUGGGGAGCAAACAGGAUUAGAUACCCUAGUAGUC